AAUACUGCCUUCAGCACUGGGGCCAAAAGUACAAAAAGGACAUGGGCCUAUUAGAAUGAGUCAAGAGGAGGGCCAUGAGGAUGAACAAAGGGCUGGAGCACCUCUCCUAUAAAGACAGACUGAGGAAGUUGGGGUUAUUCAGCCUGUAGAAG